rnacentral:tRNA from 1 species
GCGCUCUUAGCUCAGCUGGAUAGAGCAUCGGCCUUCUAAGCCGGUGGUCGCAGGUUCGAAUCCUGCAGGGCGCGCCA